rnacentral:rRNA from 1 species
UACGUAGGGUGCAAGCGUUAAUCGGAAUUACUGGGCGUAAAGCGUGCGCAGGCGGUUGUGCAAGACAGAUGUGAAAUCCCCGGGCUCAACCUGGGAAUUGCAUUUGUGACUGCACGGCUAGAGUGUGGCAGAGGGGGGUAGAAUUCCACGUGUAGCAGUGAAAUGCGUAGAGAUGUGGAGGAAUACCGAUGGCGAAGGCAGCCCCCUGGGCCAAUACUGACGCUCAUGCACGAAAGCGUGGGGAGCAAACAGG